GAUGAACGCUGGCGGCGUGCCUAAUACAUGCAAGUCGAGCGAACAGACGAGGAGCUUGCUCCUCUGACGUUAGUGGCGGACGGGUGAGUAACACGUGGAUAACCUACCUAUAAGACUGGGAUAACUUCGGGAAACCGGAGCUAAUACCGGAUAAUAUAUUGAACCGCAUGGUUCAAUAGUGAAAGACGGUUUUGCUGUCACUUAUAGAUGGAUCCGCGCCGCAUUAGCUAGUUGGUAAGGUAACGGCUUACCAAGGCAACGAUGCGUAGCCGACCUGAGAGGGUGUUAAGCCACACUGGAACUGGGACACGGUCCAGACGCCUACGGGGAGCAGCAGUAGGCAAUCUUCCGCAAAGGGCGAAAGCCUGACGGAGCAACGCCACGUGAGUGAUGAAGGUCUUCGGAUCGUAAAACUCUGUUAUUAGGGAAGAACAAAUGUGUAAGUAACUAUGCACGUCUUGACGGUACCUAAUCAGAAAGCCACGGCUAACUACGUG
rnacentral:rRNA from 1 species